GAUGAAGCCUUUCGGGGUGGAUUAGUGGCGAACGGGUGAGUAACACGUGGGCAAUCUGCCCUGCACUCUGGGACAAGCCCUGGAAACGGGGUCUAAUACCGGAUAUGACUGCUGACCGCAUGGUUGGUGGUGGAAAGCUCCGGCGGUGCAGGAUGAGCCCGCGGCCUAUCAGCUUGUUGGUGGGGUGAUGGCCUACCAAGGCGACGACGGGUAGCCGGCCUGAGAGGGCGACCGGCCACACUGGGACUGAGACACGGCCCAGACUCCUACGGGAGGCAGCAGUGGGGAAUAUUGCACAAUGGGCGCAAGCCUGAUGCAGCGACGCCGCGUGAGGGAUGACGGCCUUCGGGUUGUAAACCUCUUUCAGCAGGGAAGAAGCGUGAGUGACGGUACCUGCAGAAGAAGCGCCGGCUAACUACGUGCCAGCAGCCGCGGUAAUACGUAGGGCGCGAGCGUUGUCCGGAAUUAUUGGGCGUAAAGAGCUCGUAGGCGGCUUGUCGCGUCGGAUGUGAAAGCCCGGGGCUUAACUCCGGGUCUGCAUUCGAUACGGGCAGGCUAGAGUUCGGUAGGGGAGAUCGGAAUUCCUGGUGUAGCGGUGAAA
rnacentral:rRNA from 1 species